UACGCAGGGUGCGAGCGUUAAUCGGAAUUACUGGGCGUAAAGCGUGCGCAGGCGGUUCGUUAAGUUCGUUGUGAAAGCCCCGGGCUCAACCUGGGAACUGCAAUGGAAACUGGCGAGCUUGAGUGUGGCAGAGGGGGGUGGAAUUCCGCGUGUAGCAGUGAAAUGCGUAGAGAUGCGGAGGAACACCGAUGGCGAAGGCAGCCCCCUGGGCCAACACUGACGCUCAGGCACGAAAGCGUGGGGAGCAAACAGG
rnacentral:rRNA from 1 species